UAUCUUUUUCAAAGAGUUGUUUAACAGUAGCAUCCACGUGGUUAAGUAACUUUGUUUGAAUAUAGUGAUAAAAUGGAAGCAAAUUUUUCUGCGCUAGUUCAGAGGCAUAAAGAAAUGAAACUUCAUAGAAAUGAUAAUUCAAUAAUCUGCACAACAAAGUUUAAGUUGUUGAAUAUUGAACAUAUUGUCCAUCAAUUUAAAGAUAAUCAUUUUUGGGGUAAUAAUUGUAUACGUGAACUUUUUUUUAAUAAUUGAACGUUGGUUUUUCUUAUCACGCACAAAUAUGGCCAUGUAUUUAAUAUAAGGAGUUAUUUAAGAAGAUUCAAAAAGCAUUUUAUUUUUGUAAAACCUGUAUACACGGACUGGAAUAUGAUUCGUCUAUGGAGGAUAAUUCUGACAUUUUAUUUUGUGGUAGCGUGUUUGAUUAAUUGAAACUACAAUUUAAAAGUGUUGGUCAGUAAACGUUGUUUUUUAUAAAGGUGGUAAUAUGGAAGUGCAAGUUUUGAAAAACUUUAAAAAUAUUAAAUAUUUUGGUUUGAACUAAUUAAAAUUUCUUAAAGUGGAAACAUUAGAGUAUUAUUACGAUAAUUUACAAUGUAACGCACAUUUUAAAAAAGAAGAAAUUUUUGAAAAAAGAACACUUGGAACCUUUUUUAAAAUACGAAACAAAAAGGUUAAAAAUUUAUUUGAUGGAAUUUAUUUAUUAUAUAAAAGGUUCAAACGAGAAAAGGAAGAAUAUAAAGAUUUUCUUCAUCGCUUACGGGAAAAUAAUUGCUGUCAAGAGAUAAAUAAAACAGCUAGCCAAUGUUUUUAAAAAUUAUUUUUUCAUGUAAUUAACACAUAUUACACUGUAAAUAAAAAAGAGAAAUAAAAAAAUUUGUUUU